rnacentral:lncRNA from 1 species
CUUUCUCCUCUGGAGCCAUCUGGUUCCAGUGGCCAGAUAUAGAGCCCUGGAGGACCUAUCCCUUCCUGUUCCUAAAGGAAAGGAAGGAAAAAACCAGACUUCAAAUCUCUACAGAAAACACCAUAUUUCUAAGACCGAGAGAAUACUUGACUGGGUCCAUACGGGAUAGAGUAUUGUACUACUCCCUCUUCUCUAUCCUGGCAUGCUACUUGAACCAGGUUUAGCCUGGAGAUACUGACUGCAGAGAAAUGGGGUACCCUUUUCUCACACUCAUUGGCUUAUUAAAUCCCCUACCCUGGUAUCCCAGGGACAAUUUUAAUUGUAGUACAUUAGAUUAUGGCUAAUGAGUCUAGGGUUUCCCCCAAAGGAGGGAAAGGGUUUUUUUUUUAAUUAAUUUAUUUUUAGUUUUCAAUAUUCAGUUCCACAGGAUUUUGAGUUCCGAAUUUCCUCCUCAUCUGUCCCCUCCCCCACCCCAAGAUGGUGUGCAUUCUAAAUACCCCCCUACCCAAUCUGGCCUCUCUUCUAUCACCCCUGCUCCUUUUUUUUUAUUCCCUUCCACUUCUAUUUUCCUAUAGGGCAGGAUAGAUUUCUAUACCCCUUUGCCUGUAUAUCUUAUUUCCUAGUUGCAUGCAAAAACAAUUUUUAACAUUUGUUUUCAAAACUUUUUGAGUUCCAAACUCUCUCCCUUCCUCCCUCCCCACCCACCCUCAUUGAGAAGGCAAACAAUUCGAUAUAGGUUAUAUAUGUGUAGUCAUGUAAAACACUUCCAUAAUAGUCAUGUUGUGAAAGACUAACUAUAUUUCCCUCCAUCUUAUCCCACCCCUCAUUUAUUUUGUUCUCUCCUUUGACCCUGUCCCUCCUCAAAAGUGUUUGCUUCUUAUUACCCCCUCCUCCAAUCUGCCCUCUCUUCUAUCAUCCCCCCUCUCUUAUCCCCUUCCCCCCUAUUUUCCUAUAGGGUAAGAUAGAUUUCCAUACCCAAUUGAGUGUGUAUGUUAGGAGGGAAAGUUUUUAAAAGAUACUUGUAUAUAUUAUGAAUUUUGUAUGAGAGAAGUAAUUUAUUCCUAUAUAUGCA